AGUAAAGCCAGAAGAGACAGAAGGCCAAGGACUAUACCCUGGAAGAUCACUGACAUGUAGUUUCUCAGAGUUAGAGGAACCAGAAAAGAAGACUCAGAAGGGGAAGCCAUUGAAAAAGGGAGAAAACCAGAACAAUGUGGUGUCCUGAAAGCCAAGAGAUGAAAGGUGCUUCACCAAGGAGAGACAGCGGUGUCUGAUACUGUGGAUGACUCAGACAGAUUAAGCAAGGCAAUACUGCAUAAGUACAUGGAAAUAUGAACAGUACGAAUGUGGACCCAGAAGGCACUGGGUGGGCCAGUCUGGAAAGAGAGAGCGUAUUCACCUAUGGAAGCAUGCAAUUGCA
rnacentral:lncRNA from 1 species